CGCAUGUGGAGAUAGACGCCUCACAACGGAAAGAAAAGGAAUAACAGCCGCCAUUAUCAUUAGCGUUCGCAUUCUACGUCGCAUUUGUUCUCGUUAAAGUCCACAUAUAAUUAAUGUGCAUGAGACAUGGGCAGGGAAAGAUGUGCAUGUACUUCUUUCCAAAGUUGACGCAUACAAACUGUUUUAUUGGGAUAUUGAGAAGACUGGUCCCAACAAGGAGCUUGAGAGUGAGGUGAUCAAUGCAUAUUUAACACUGCUUAUUCGAAAAUACCAAUGCAAUGCUGGUGAAGCAGCUGUUAUUGACAGCUAUGCAAUGACCGCAAUCUGGCAGGGAAAAUUUGGAAGAAUACGGAUUGAUCCAAUGGCACACAAAGUUAUUGCGGGAAUUGUGAAUGAGCACCAUCGUUGGAUGUUGGUGUUUGCAGAGAAAAUUUUACAGUGGCAGGCAAUAAAUAUUGACACUUCGCAGAAGGCAGUGGACAAGUUGAGGCUGGACAUAGCCACUUCCCUCCUCAGAGAAUCUGAUGAUCUAAGCAGUCUGUGCUUUUAUUGUGGAAUGGAGGACCAGGAUGAAGCAUAAUGGGUUUGCUGUGAUGGCUGUGAAAGGUGGUACCACCAUGAAUGCGUGAACAGGCCUCCAGUGGAUGAGGAGUACUUGUGUCCGGCAUGUGCACAAUGGUGUCCCUUGUUGUACUGUCUUUUUAUUUAUUACCUGCGACAACAGUAUUUUGAUAGUAUUUAAUUUAUUACUUAGUAAAUUUAAUUUUUAUUAUUUAAUUGUGUUAUUUCAUUUUUAUUUCUAUAUUUAAUAUUUAUUAUUAAAAUUUUUUUUACAAAAGUUAAUUCAUUAAAAAAAAAAAACUGAGAUGGUUUUCAGUACUUUAUUACAAUAAAAUUUGUGUAUGCUCCCAACGAGUUUGUGUAUACAUUUCCCAAAAAAAUGAAUAUGGGUGAAUAUGUUCAACCACUAGGCUUAAAACUUUCAUUCAUAUAACACUAUCUCAGUGGGAGUUGGUGAAAAUGUUGGUGCCAGUGUCAAAUAAUUUGGAGGGUAUAGUGGUAGGGCCGAUGUGGUGAAGUGGGUGAGUUUCAUGUUUGUGGCACUUUCCUACAGGGAGAUAUGAGGGGCUGCAUUUCCUGACAAAGGAGCUCGCCGUGAAAAGCAUUACAUUUGUUCUAUCUAAGUGUGAGCUCAGAAGAAGCCUAUUCAAAAGCCCAUUUUUGAAAUAGCAUCCAAUCUAAACAAAAAGUCAAUACAUUUUAUUUUUCAUUUCACGCAAACACAAAAUCCCAAUGUGUUACA